UCUUAGGCUUCUGUUCUCCAAUCUCAGAACUUGUGCUGUGCUCCAUCACCAGGGGAACUGAUAGCUUUUAGCAGGCAAACCCUGAGGUGGAAAAGGCUGCUCAGCCUCCCUCUGCCUCUCUCCCCCAAACUCCCUCUUUUUUUCUCUCUCUCUCUUUAGUUUCAUCUUUCUCUUUCACAGCAUUUUGUUUUCCUUUGGUAUCCCUGUGACACUCCCCUUUUCCUUCCCCCCCUCGCAAAGGCAGGUUGGAAUUGAAGUAAAUUUAUUUCUCCUCUCUCCUCAUGCUGCUGCUGCUGCUGUGGACAUAAACCUUCCUCCUUCCAGAGCAGUCAGCGCUGUCACUGAAACGUAUUACCUCUGUUUCCAGAGCUCCUCACACAGGUGGUGUUGUAUUUCCAAGGCUGAAUAACAGGGAUGAUUUCAAGUUGACGUCUCUCUUUUUUUGUUUGUUUUUGCGUGACAACAUAUCACCUUUGUUUACUGUUUCUAUUGUUUCCCUCUGUGAGCAGAUCUGAGCCCGAUGGAGGACAUAAGACAGACCUGGCGGGUGAUGAAACACAAGGACACACAGGGUGGAGAGGCGGGGAGUUGGAACAGUGUGAGGUCUGGCAGAGCAGGUGAGAGAGGGGUUUUUGUGGAUGUUGCUGGUAAAUUCAGCAAAAGGAUUUAAAAAUAGGAGAGGGCAGUGAGUCAGAUCCCUGGACAAAGAGCAGUAAGGAAUUAACUUUUUUUUGUUGUUUUUUUACCUUCUUCCUACCUGCCCCGCGUUCUCACCUUCCAUCCCACAUAAUCACGUCACAGGAAGCACCUCAGGGAGAGGGUCUUUUUCUAACACUGUCUCCCUCUGCUUCCUUUGUUCUCUGAAAAUGAGCACCUCAGAUCUGAUGCCUCCUCCUCUGUUAGUGAACGAAUGUACCGAGCAACAGCGAUUUCCUCGAGCAGGCGUCGCCUCCCGCUGCUCCAGAUUACAGCUCAUUAGUGGUCGCUGCAGAGAGACAGCCCACACCAAUGCCUCCCCUCUGAUUCCCACUUUGUUUCUUGUGAUUCUGGUGUGGCACGCCAUGGUGACAAAAAAAAUGGAGGCUGGUGGUGGUUAUGAGGAAUAAAGGGGCUGGAAGGGAGACCAAGACAAAAACAUGGAGAGUUUUCACAGCUUGUCAGCAGCUGGUGAACAUUUAAAGAGGACAGCUUCAUCAGAUUGACACAGCAGCCUCUUUCCACUGACAUAACACUCUGAGUGGGUAUCUGAAGUGCGAGCUUUUCUGCUGAUAAGCACCUGAGAAGAUGAUCAAGAGGGACUAUCUGUAGAGUUAUAUCCCAUAUAGGCGGACAUUAGCUAUUAACCACCUUCUACAAACAUUAGUGAUGAUCUGCCUGUACAUUUAUUUAAAGUACAAAUAAGGUUGAUCUUUGCUUGUCUUAAAAAAAGUCAAAUAUGUUGAUCUUUGCAUUAAUAUGGACGACACACAAGCUCCACCUAUGAUAAAGUGAAGCCAAAAGAUGAUGAUAUACUCCGCUGUUGAGCCAAGAUAGUACAGUCUACCGUAGACCUGAUUUGUGUGGUCUACGGUAGACUGACACAGAUGCAGUAGCUUAUUGUAUUGCAAAAGACCUGCUACCAAUAAGCACUGUUAGAUUUCAUUUUUUAUUUCGUGAUAUAUAUCGAUAUAGACUGAUAUGAAAAAAAUAUAUUGUGAUGAACCUUUUUCCGUAUCGCCCAGCCCUACUUACAACAUAGCCCCUGUGAUGAUCUGCACAACCCAAAAGACAGCAAACAGACUGUGGAGAGUUGCUAGUGCAAAGACAUGAAAGGCAAAGCCAGGGUGAGAAGUUUGUUUGGGCUGAAGCUCACCAAGCUAGGCUAGGCCUUACAGCCUAUUCACCCUUACCUCUCCUCUUUAAUGAGGGAUGAUAGAAAAAACAGAGAGAAAAAACUGAGAAGACCGUGUAGGGGGGUGUUAUAAAGAGAACAGAGAGGGAAAAGCCAGGGCAAGAAGACUUUUUGGGCUUAGUAACAGCACUGUUAGCUAAGGGCUAAACAGCAGUUUGGUCAUCUUCACCCUGGAACACUGAUGGUACUCUUCUCCAAUUCUCCAACAAAGUCGUUUUUGGAAGCUGCUCAUUACAAUCAAAUAAUAACAAAUAGUCUGAUUGGCAGCCUGAUCUAAAACUUUGUUCACAACGGUAUGACGUCAUGGCAGCAUCUAUGGUUCCCACCCUGAAUGUUGAGAGAGGGUUCAAGGAGGUCAUGUCCAGGGUCACAGCUACAGUUCUUCAAACAUGCCAAGGCUUGUUGGCUGCGUUGACAGUCGAGCUCUUGUACAUCUUUUGUCUUUUGUUUGCGAAAAUAAAACCAAUUGAGAGUGCUUCUCUCUAACUGUCAGCCGUGCCAGGCGCUGCGUGGUAAUUGCCUUUGAACAGCUUUGUGUUUCUGUGCAUUCCCAUUCAUUAUCUGUUUUUCUCUUCCUUCCUGUUUCACAAGACUGGUUGGAAGUGAAGCAUAUCACCCCCACCCCCCACCCACCCCUAAAGUUCCAGUCUUGUUCGCUAUCCUUGGACAAGUUUUGGCAAAGUUACAAAAGGGAACAGAUGCCAGAUGUGCGCAUUGUGUCACUAAACGAAACCCAUUUUUCUGGCUUUUGUUUUUUUUGUUUCCCGAAAAUAGUUCCUCCACAGGCUUGCAAAAUCCUCUUUAAAUCAGAGCACAAUGAUAAUUGUCAUUAUUAUAAAUCGUCUGUGAGGCAGAGGUUCUUUUCAAGAUAAUAGUAGGGAAAAUUAAGCAGCUGCUCCUUUCCUAGCUGGUAAUUGAUCCAUUCAAGCAGCAACCUAGGGUCUAGAGACGUAAAAUCAAUGUGGAGGUGAUAAAAACUGUAGUUCCUGGGUUGUCCACUUGAGGCUGACUGAAGUAGAGUUAUCAGCAAACUGCACCUAAAAGUUAAAAAAAGAAAACCCUGGGUGUAUUUUGCUCUACAACUGAGGAAAACAUUGCAUCACUGUUUUCUACACCUGAGAAGCAAAACAAGAUCAUGGAGAGUACGAAUCAACCAGUCAGAUCAGGUCACUUUCAGUUUACAUCUUUUGCUUCUUCUCGAGAGGGCAGCCCUCCAUCCGUGUACGCUUGGAUGAUUUACAUCCACCAUCCACUGGGGCCCCCUCAGACUGAAUAAGCCUCGACCAUUACAGUCUUGUGGGCAGAGGGAGCUAUGAUAGAAAAAACAAAAACAAAAACUCCAGUCAGUAUUCCCUGUCGCCCGCCUACAAACACAGCUCUGAGCCAUGCUGCACUGUACACUGCUGCCUCUGCCUCCUCUAACCUUACAUGACCUUUGACCCCUACAGUCAUUCUGACAGGCUGUGCUUCUGACAGCCUAUCCCCCGAACUCACUGUGUCUGCGGGAACAGCAGACCAUGAAGCAUGCGAAACGCCAGGGCGAAGAUGUUGAGUUUCUCAGUGUCAACAGACAUCAAACAUCGAACAGAGCCAUUAUUUCAUUACACCGACUUGAAAACUCAUUGCGGGCUGCUUCUGGAAAGCAAACCCAGCUUUCUUUUGUAUCUCCAAGCUUUAAUCGUAUAUCUGUGUUUACACAAACUCAAAAGAUAUACUCUGCGAAGUGUUGCGCUAGCUGGAUGGCACACUUUUGAUUCUUUUGAAUCAGAAAUAAAUCUUCGAUGUGUGACUUCAGUUUCUCUGGCGGGUCCACUCAGAGGCAGGAGUAUGAAAUAUGCUGCUUGUGUCUCAGCUCUGUGGGUCACUUUUGGCUGUAAGGGGAUUGAUUUUUUUCUCCCUCCUGUUUUUUUUUUUUUCAGCUCUCCACUCAGACUUCGCUGAGCACUCCUUCAAAAUAAAACAAACUCAGCCCGGUUGACCCCAAAACAGCAAGACUGACCUGAAAGUAGCUUCAGGGUCAACCCAUUUUCAACAUGCAGCAUAAUGCUACGGUUAUACAGCAAAACAAAUCCACUUAAUUUGGCUCUUUUAUUGUUGAAAAAACUUGUUGGUGCAAGGUCAGGUAAUAAAAUCUGAACUCCAAACCUUUCAAAGUGGAGGACAGUAGCUUUUGGCGUGCAGUCGGAGCCCUUUACUCUGUCAGUUUUUCAUUUUUCAGCUGGUAAUACAGUUUGAAAAUGUACCACAGCUUGUCCUCACUUCAAACCCAACCCCCUCCCCUCCCAUGAUGCACCUUUCCCCACUCUGUGUGUCAGCAAGCCUGGGACACCCACUCAGUCACUAUCUCAACUUCUCCCAUCUAAACAAUUCUGUCAUCAUUUGUCAAACUCCUCUAUCUGUCUCUUCCCUCUCCAUCUGCAUGAGGAGCAGAGUGAUGCUGGGGUGUGAUAGGCGCCCGUCAGGGUCCACGCGUCUCGGUGCACAAACACACGCACACACACACAUUCUCUAUGAGGAGGAUAGAGAUGGAUGCCCUGCACAUUUGAGCAUCCAGACAGAGUGAGUGCAUGUGACAGACAGUCAAUCAGCCCGUGAUGAGAGGUAAUCGCACAGUGGACAGAUCAAUUAGUUAUUUUCUCCAGAGACGAAGAGAAGAAAAACACUGCUGUUCUCCAGGUAAAUGAUUUGCAUUUCACUGCCUUUCAUCUCUCUCAUCCUUCUUGCAUCUUUAUCUUUUCUGUUUUUUUUCUCCCAGCCACCCCCAUUGCUUCCUUCUGUGCACCUCCCUCUCUCCCUCUCCUCUUUGAAUUUGGCUGUUUUGGUUGUUUAUCUCUGCUCAUUUCUCCUCCUGCCUGUCUCAUAGGGAGGGAGGUGGAGAUCCAGACGAUCAGGGCUGACUGAUGGUAUAUGAGCACAGCCUGUGAGUGAUGAGAGCUCUGCCCGGCCGGAUCAUUUAUACUGGGCCAGGCUGAGAACAAACAUAUGUAUCUCAUAGCCAUCGGAGACACUCCAAGGCUGGUUUGGCCACACAAAUACACACAUACACACUCACACACGCAUUCACAGAGGUAAAAACAAACACACAUUAGGACGUGAUGUAUCAAGCUAUGACCUCCUGAAGGGCAAAACUCUCUCUGUAUCUGUUUCACCAGCAGACAUGGACAGGAAAACCCAGUAACAUAUGACCCAUAAAAAGGCAUCUGCUUCAGAGCUCCACUGCUUGUUUAUCUCUUGUUUUCCUGCUGCCCGCUCAGCCAGAGUCAGCCCACAUCAGCAGCUUGAAUUGCUGGAUUUAGAGUUGUUAUGCAUGUAGGUCAUUUUUUCUCUUUGUGUUGCUGUGUUUACUAGCUGUAACAGUGGACAUUCCCUGAGGUUGCAGAAAUGUGGUACAGUCUCGGCUCUCACUGGAGAUCGCUCUGUCCUUCACACCCACUUAAGGCCGGAUCCAGUCAGUGCUUGUCAAAGCAAUUUUACACAGCAAUCUUUAUUUACAGGAAAACCAUCCUGUGCACACACACAGACACAGACGUACACACUCAGAGGAGUCGAUGUUUUUCAAGGGCUUAGAAUUUGUACAGUCAGAUUGGAUUUGGCUGCGCGAUAUGAAGCUUUGACUUUUUGUUACUUUUAACUUUAGUUUAACAAACAUUUACUUUUCGCUUCUGUCCGCUGAGCAUUUAAUGUCCUGAAAAUUUCUUUAAGUUACAAAUCGGUUCAACGGUCACUUUUGUCUUUAUCAUCCUUCCCAAUGAAGGAGUCCAGGGAGCACCAUCACCAUAAGCUGCACUGCAAGCCUGAAUGCUACCGAUGACCCCACCUUUUUAGUUCAGCUGUUCACCGUAACUUUUGAAUGAUGGUGGCCUCUAUCAGAUUCUCAUGUGAACUGGUUUCUGUCCUGAACUUAAAAAACAAAAAACUAAGAUGUUCCAGCAUUAGAUAAAGAAGUACACAAGAAACUCACUGAAUAAAGUGUGUGAGAGGAUUGGUGUCAGCCAAGCAGCUGUUGAAAAAUCCCUACUUUUACAGUUUCUGUAAAACAUAUUUACAAAACAUGACAAAUUUGAUUGUCAAAGUCACAAUGAUGAGAUUUCUGAGAGAAGACGCUAUUUAAGCACGAAGAGGACAAGAUAAGCAAAGACUGCUUUGUCAACGUGGGCGCCAAAACUGACACAAACUGAUAGUUCCUCACAGGAUGAAAAGUAAGGAGACAGAGAGUCCAACAUUUACAGAUGGGGCGCUGGUUUAGUUGAGCACCAUAGAGGAUAUCUUUAUCAUGUUGGUCACAGAUUGAAAUUCCAGUGCUAGCACUAUUGGUUGCAUGUCAUUCUCCCUUCUCUCCUCACUCAAAUCACAGCAAAAACAAAACAAACAAACUUACUCUUUAAAAAUGAGCAGGCUGAUGUUUUAUUGAGUCCUAGUGAGUCUUUCUCACACCCAGAUGUUUUGAACAAGUCAAGAGUGACACCAAAUUCACACCUGGGCUGUUCAGACUGAAGCUGCAUCAUAUAAGAGCUGAUCUAUGUCUGAUUUAGGACCACAUGUGAGGCUGUGACCUGUGCUGUUAUCAAAGUGUAAUACAAAUCAAACCACAGUCCCAGAUGAGCAACAUGAAUAAUGGUUUGGAUGAAGUAACAACAAAGGGGGAUAAUUGAACCCUGAUCUGUGGACAAGCUUCUGUCUUGGAGUGAUGGAAAGGUAAAGCGUAGCAGCACAUAUGUUUGAAAAAUCAGUCUCUCAUAUAGUCCAGACACAUAAAGACGGAUGAUAUCAUGACAUUUAUAGUUCUCCUCUUCCUGUUGGAGCUGUGUUUAUUAGAGGUCUACAUGUAGGCCAAGUUUCAAGUGCCUCUCUGAUCAUUUUCCGUUUCCUUUCUUGGGUGUCCUCUCAGCCAUAAUGUCAAGAUUCUUAAUGUGAUCUGUCUCUUACUACGAUCAUGUUGUUACACAACGGCAAAAAAAAAUACUGCAUAUCAUACCAGAAGCAAGCACAAAACAUGGCCAUGUGUUUCUCGCUUAAAAAACUAUGUGGCCUCUCAUUUUACACUUAACCACCACACAUCACUCCUCCUGUGUCAGCUGAUAUUUCCCAGAAACCCCCAGUCCUCCAGCGCUGGCCCAGCAUGCUCUAUUCCUUCGUUCUUUCAGUCCAUCUUCUUCUCCUGUGUGCCGACAGGACCACCUGGUGCUGCUGCUGGUUGCCAGAUUUUGGAUUAUCCUGCAUAACAAUGGGCCAAAGGAUUGUUUGGACCCCUUCCAUUCCCGGGAUGCCAGAGAGCGCUGCGCUCCUUGCCCUUCAGAGACGGCGGCCCUCCUCUCCAUCGUACACACAUGGAUGCACGACCGCUCUGGGACAGCACUCCCCCUCACACACAUUCAAACUCUUAAUUAACGUGUCCUUGUGUUUAUGGCCAUCCAGUGGCCCAUAAGGGAGUGAGUGAAGUCUAUAGCUGUGUACAUGCACAAAGACCAACACACAGUGGUCAUCUGCACUUUUAACACACACAUGGUGAGGAAAACAGAUGAAUUUUUGUAGUAAAACCCAAACAAAGGACAUUUCUGAAGAACAAAAGCCUAACUUGAUGUGGGCUGAAUAAGUAAACACAGACAUGUGUGUAUCUGUGUUUGUGUUUUCAUAAACAGUCUUUCUAGGAAGCUGCAAUAUUAAAACUCAGAAAUGUCAAAACCAACAAAACAAACCUCUUCUCAACUUUACUUCUGAGAGACUCGGCCUCUCUGAGACGUCCUUUUUGUUCCCCAUCAUGUCACUAACCUGUUGCAGAAAAGCUCUGAUUUGUUGGAAAAUGUUCCUUCAAGUGUUUUGUUUUGUUUUUUUUAGCAUCACACGACUUUGUCAGGGUUCCUUGUCCUAACUUAUUUGAUGAGUCACUGACAUCAAAUUCAAAAUGACCAGCUG
rnacentral:lncRNA from 1 species